UUUUCUAUAAAAAAAAUGUCACUUUUUGCCACUGGUUCAGUUUCUUUCUGAAACUAUCAUAUGGUGAAAGUAAGGAAUGUUGCUGAACGAAGACAGAGUUAUGUGCCUUUUAGUUGGGAUGUCGUUGUUCUCCUUGUCCAUCUGUUAAUUACAUUUUAGUGUUUUGAUUACAUCGAUAUCAUCAUUUAUUCUGUUCAUGUGACAUUCAGGUGGAAUAUUGUUGUAUCCCUCCUUGUCCAUCUGUUUAUUACAGUUAAGGUUUUUGCUGACAUCGAUACCAAUAUAGAGUGUGUUCAUGUGACUUUUAGGUGGGAUGUUGUAGUAUUUCUUGUCCAUCUGUCCAUUGUAGUUUAUUGUUUUGAUAAAAUCGAUUCCAUCGUUGAUUGUGCUGUUGUGUUCAGUGUCUGUCAAAUCUGACUAAAUAAUGUAAAAUGAUCCUUAUGUUUGUUAUUGACUUUCAAGUGAACAGUUUGCAUUUGAAUUAAAAUUCAA
rnacentral:lncRNA from 1 species